CCCAGAGCCCUGCACAUGCUAGGCAAGCACUCUACAAGUGAUCUACAUCCUAUCCCCUUCCCCUUUUAAUUUUGAGAUGUGGUCUCAUCCAAAUGUCAAAUAAUCAACUCAGAGGAAGUACGUCCUGGACUAAGACUUCUGCAGGCCUCAGAGCUCGUGCCUAGCAAGUGUUCUGAAUGGAUUCCUUCAAGACAGAGGAAAUGCAUGGGAAGCCCUGUCCAUCAGAGCCUCACCACCUC
rnacentral:lncRNA from 1 species